rnacentral:rRNA from 1 species
UUGCCAUUUCAUAAGCGGAGGAAAAGAAACCAACAGGGAUUGCCUCAGUAACGGCGAGUGAAGCGGCAAAAGCUCAAAUUUGAAAUCUGGUACCUUUGGUGCCCGAGUUGUAAUUUGAAGAUAGUUUUCUGGUGCUGGCCCUUGUCUAUGUUCCUUGGAACAGGACGUCACAGAGGGUGAGAAUCCCGUCUGGCGGGGUGUCCAGUGCUUUGUAGAUUUCUAUCGACGAGUCGAGUUGUUUGGGAAUGCAGCUCUAAGUGGGUGGUAAAUUCCAUCUAAAGCUAAAUAUUGGCGAGAGACCGAUAGCGAACAAGUACAGUGAUGGAAAGAUGAAAAGAACUUUGAAAAGAGAGUGAAAAAGUACGUGAAAUUGUUGAAAGGGAAGGGUAUUAGAUCAGACUUGGUGUUUUGUGAUUAUCUUCCCUUCUUGGGUUGUGCACUCGCAUUUCACUGGGCCAGCAUCGGUUCGGGUGGUAAGAUAAUGACAUUGGAACGUGGCACUGCCUUCGGGUGGUGUGUUAUAGCCCUUGUUGAUGUUGCCUAUCUGGACCGAGGACUGCGGCUUUUGCCUAGGAUGCUGGCGUAAUGAUCUAACACCGCCCGUCUUGAAACACGGACCA